rnacentral:rRNA from 1 species
GUGGGGAAUCUUAGACAAUGGGGGAAACCCUGAUCUAGCCAUGCCGCGUGAGCGAUGAAGGCCUUAGGGUUGUAAAGCUCUUUCAGCUGGGAAGAUAAUGACUGUACCAGCAGAAGAAGCCCCGGCUAACUCCGUGCCAGCAGCCGCGGUAAUACGGAGGGGGCUAGCGUUGUUCGGAAUUACUGGGCGUAAAGCGCACGUAGGCGGACCGGAAAGUCAGAGGUGAAAUCCCAGUGCUCAACCUUGGAACUGCCUUUGAACAUCCUGGUCUUGAGGUCGAGAGAGGUGAGUGGAAUUCCGAGUGUAGAGGUGAAAUUCGUAGAUAUUCGGAGGAACACCAGUGGCGAAGGCGGCUCACUGGCUCGAUACUGACGCUGAGGUGCGAAAGCGUGGGGAGCAAACAGGAUUAGAUACCCCAGUAGUCC